rnacentral:lncRNA from 1 species
AGGUACUCCAUUGUCUGAUGGAUCUGAGAACGCUGUCUGGGCUUGGUACCAAGAGCUGGUAUUUCACAGCAGCGACCGCCUCACAGACGAGCUGUGGGAAGCAGGAGGGAGACUCUCUCUUAGGGUGCCACUACUAUGGAGACACAGCUGGGCUGAACAAGAUUUGCUUCAAACGACAACAAGAGAGACAGAAAGUAUCUGGUUCAACCGCUGCCCGAGCAGGCAGGCACCAGAAGAGCUAGCAGCCAAUCCGGCCAUGCUCGAAGCCAGCUCUGCAGCUCAGCCAAUCAGUGACAUCAUUGCUUUCUUUAGCUUGCCCAUGGUGAUGUGAAGAUGAGAAGAAAUAGCAAGGCCCAACCAGUUCUUCAUCUGGAGACAGUUCAACGUUCUGCAAACCAGAUCUUCAGGAAUUUUACUGGGAUAAUUAUCCAAAUAAAUUGCAAGCAUUCUAUCCAAAUGGACAUCCAUAAAAAUUCAUCAGAGAGCAUUUUACUACUGAGCUGCAAAGAUGACAAGAGCACCUCAAAGGCAGCAGCCUCAAGGAGCAGCCAUGGCCCCAGACUUGUCGCACGGAUGCAGAAAACUUAAUGGAGGAGGCUGAGGUCAGAAUGGGAAGAGUUUUUAAAAAAUAAAAAGGGGAGCUAAUAUGUGAGGAACUGAUUGCUGUGCAUUAUUUUCCACUGAACAGACCUUCUUUUAACUUCUAAUCUCAAGCACAUAGCAGCUGUUGUUUUCAUAUUAAAGAUCAGUAAGUGUUUGUUGAAUGAAUGUAUAAAUUCUUCCCCAAUCUCUGUUCCAUGUAAUAAGAACUAAGUUAGCAUUCAAUUAUAAAGAGGACUUAGAAAGUCUGCAGACAUUUUUGAUCAAAAAUCCUUUUAACUGUCUUCUUAUGGUUCCCGGUAACACCUAAGCCCAAAAAACUCAGGUCAUUUCUUGCCUGUACUGUUGCAAUAGCCUCAUAAUAACUAGUCUUCUCCUUUAUCAACCACAGUCGUCUCCGCUACACAAAGAAGAGAGGGUGCUAAUCUAAAGUGUAAAUUAUUUUAAAUCAGCACCCUUCUUGUAAUUUCCCAGUGGUUUUUCCUGUCAUAAGAAUAACAUGCAAAAUUCCUUGCUUGCAAAGCCAGGUAUGACCUUGCCCCGUCUACCUUACUGGCAUCGUCUCUCAUGACUCUUCCCCUUUUUCACUCUCCAUCUUGCCUUUUCCCAACCAUGCCUGCUAGUGAGCCUUAGCCCUUGUGUUUUCUCUGCCAGGGAUGCAUGACUGGCUUCUUUACUUUAUUCUGAUCUCUCUGCUCAAAUGUCAUCUUUUUAGAGAUAGCUUUCCUAAACAUCUUUAAAAGUACCCCAUGAACUGUGAAACACCUUUCCUGCUUUUUCUUCAUAGUACUUAUCACUUCCUGAUAUUAUGUUAGACAACAAGCAAAUAAGUAUAUGCUGUUCCCACUAAAAUAUAAGCUCCAUUUGAACAGGAGCCUUGAUUAUUCCUGAGUAUACCCCUAGUGCCCAGAACCUAGUAGGGCUUUAAUAAAUAUUAGAUUCAUUUGUUGAAUGAAAAAAUGAAUGAAUAAUUGAAUAAAGAUAUCCAGGUAGAGUGUCCGGGCAGCCCAACCUAUGUGAAGCCAGUACAAGAAUGUUUCUGUGACAUAGUGAGCGCAAUUAUUCCUCUAAAUGAUGAACUUGCAUGAGUACACAAGGAUAAAAUUAAGCACGUAGUUUAGAUUUCUGCAAGUCUCUUCCUCAGAUUGAGGAAAAACAAAGAAAUUGAGCUUAUUCUCACCUCAUUCUUACAUGAACUAAAUCCAGAAUAAAGCAUCAUUUAAAUACCAAGCACAUCCCUACCUCAGCCACUCAUGGAAUACUUUAUCUGUAAAGGGACAGAUAGAUAGUAAAUAUUUUUGGCUUUGGGGACCGUACAGUCUGUGUCGCCACUACUCAGCACUUCUGUUGAGGUGUGGAAUCAGCCCUAGACAACACAUAAACAAAUGGGUGUGGCUGUGUUCCAAUAAAAUGUUAUUUAUAAAACUAGGAAAUCAGCAGAUUUAGUCCACAGGCUGUAGUUUGCUGACCCUUGAAUUAGAGAGUCUUCCCCAAAUCCUCUUCCCAAGUUAUUGAAAGAAUGCCCAUAGGACCAUAGCUCCCUCACCUGGUUCUUUCAAGAAAUGAGACAAAUUCAGGGAUGGUUGGAGGGUGGAACGCCUACCUGUGACAUGACUAUUGAGCCUGAUUUCUUUCCUUUUAUCUCUUUAAAGUGAGUCAGGUCUUAACUUUAAACUGUCUCUAAAGUGGCAAUAACUGGGCCAUGUCAAAUACUCCCAAUGACAAAAUUUCUUCUUGGAGAAUGAAUGAGGGUUGCAUACAGUGGUGUGUUGGUAAAUGUUUAGCAACUGGCUCUCUUACUGAUUUCUGUAGUGUAAAUUCUCCCAUCCUGGCCAUCUGAAACUACCAAUAUGAUGUCACUUGAUGUAGAGUUGGGAAAAGACAGUCUCUUGAAUAAGUAUGAGCUGGUUCCAGCCCACUGCUGAACACAUAUUUAAAAGCUACAAUAGCUCUGCUCACUGCCAUUGCAGAGUCUGGAGGAAAGAGUAGCAGGCUUGAUAGGAGCAAUUGGCUGAAUAAUCUUUUGCAAUGCCAAUAAAUAAUGAAAAAGUAUAUAAAUAUAACGCUGUAUAGAAAGCUCUCAAGUUCAGUGUUUGGUUAAAAUACAUACUCAGUAAAUGGUAGCUAUUAUUGUCUUAGUUUAAGUUAUUGCAAGCAUUAAAAUUAAAUGUUUAGCUACAGACUCAAUCCAGUUUUAAUGUCAUUGUGUUAAUAAGGCCUCUUAACAUUGAAGCAACAAAGAUAAAGGAAUUUUUUUGUAGCUAUUCACGAUUCUGCCCAGCUCAAGGUAAAGAUAGCAACAAAAUACUCCAACCAGAAUAAAAGAAGUCUCCACUUGACUGCAGCUCUUCGCAACACUUCACAAGGGUCAAGCUGUGUUAGUUUCCUUCAGUGUUAAACAGAAUGCAUCUUAAGAGAAUAGUUCAAUUAUUGAUUGAAUAGUAGGUUCAAGUUGACUAUAAUCCCAACUAAUACACUCUAAGACCAGGGAUGGGCCGACAGAAGGGUAAAGUUUUCCACUCAAGUCUCGAGGCAAACACUCAGAUAGAAGUAGUAAUAUGGAUGCCUUCUAUUAUUUGGUCACAUACAAUACUGUUCCAGCCCAGUUGUGCAAAACUGGUGAAAUAAAAGGCAAAAAUAUUGACAACAGUUUGGGUAACUGGAUUCCAAAAUGGGCAUCCAUCUAAGAGAAAUUAAUGAAAAAAAAGCAUAUGGACCUUGAAAUACAUUAAUACACAGUUUAGGUUUAAACACUCAGUUUUUAUUAGAAAAGACUAACUUAUCCUGUUUUGAACACUACAAAAGUGCUUUCUGAACCAUUUACUCUCAAACCUCCUCCACCCAUUCCCCUCCAUCUAUAACGCUUUCUGCACAUCUGUAAAAGGUAUGACUUAGUGUUUGGUCUGUGAAAUAAGGUUAAAAAGGAAGCAUUUCUUUUUACAUUCUAGCUAAUGUUGAUAUUUUUCUCAUGCUUCUAUUAGCACAUAAUUCAGAUACAUUAGUUUUGAAGUUUUGAAUCUUCUCUGCUUCUUGAGGGCUCUCUGUUCUAGAUCAACAUGAUCUGUGGAACACCAGCCAAGUCCUGGGCAGAACCCUCCCCGUUGUCCAAAUAUUACUGAAUCAGUUGAGUUUUCUCUGUUGUCAAUGAAUUAUUCCACAUGUUUCUUUGGCUACAUUUUUUUUGGCUUUCUGUUCACAGUAAAUAUAGCCUUUGUUUUUAAAAACUUCUAUUAUGAAAAUUCCAAAUAUAUGCAAAUUAGAGAGAAUAGCAUAAUGAACCUCUAUGUGCUUAUCACACAUAUAGGUUCAACUAAUUAAAUUAUAUCAAUUUAUGGCCAAUCUGGUUUCAUUUAUAACAUCAU